AACGUGAGGGUCAGAGUUCACCUGCUCCGUACCAAACCUCCUUGCACUGCAGUGGGCAGGGUGAGCCUCCCUUGGCUCCUACAAGAAGCCAUCUCCUCCUGCUAGUUGCGUCCUUCCUGCCUCCUUCUCCAGCAUAAGGAUGCAACAGAGACCAAUCAGCAUCAUCACAGGAGAACAAAUGAAAGAGAACAAGGGUCACAGAAUACAUCUACCAUGAGGAAACUGAGUCUGCAAGUCUAGAAUCCACUUCUUGGGAGAUAAGGGAGCAUUUGGGGAAAGAAGACAUCAGUUGUGCAAUCAAGGAAGACUUGGUAAUGCUGAAGAGGACUGUACAAGAAGAGAAGUCAAAGACACAAGACAAAGAAAAGAGAGGAACAUAAUCCUUAAUUUUUGUUUAGAGCAAUUUUGGGUACAACUGCUCUAUCAGGAAGUGAAAUGUAAUUGCCAUUUUUGGAUAGAAGCCAUCAACGUAAAGCUUUGACUACAAUUUUGGUUUCAAAGCUUUCCAAAACCAAUCAGUGAUUCUGUGUUUAAAGGCAAGCUCAACCCAAUGUUCAUCAGAGCCUGUGCAUUUAGCAAAAGGUGACCAAAGACACAAUCAUCCUUAAGAUCUGCAAUAAUUCCUACUGGAUCGAUUCCUAGAAAUCAAAUAUUUCUCUCACUGAUUUCCAUCUUAGGAAACAGCCCAACAUCUACCGGUUGAAAUACAAAAAGAAGCAUGCAACAAAGCAGAAUUAGUUUUACAGUAGAGUGCAUUUUUGCUAUAACCACAAUGAUCAGUACCAAAUAGUGACCAACCUGACUGGGAGGUUGAAAAGCACAACCAGCUCCAAAUCUCAGAUGAGAAAGUGGGCUAAAUCAACAGUUUUAUGCGCUUACUUCCAGGAUUCAUGGAACAAAGAAAAUUGCAAAGACCCCAGUCACUUCUCAGCUAACUUCAAGGGCACCUAAAGUCUCCCAAGAGUAAGAUAUAACUACACUGCAAACUUCUGUAUAGCACGGACAUAUGCAAAGCAGCUUUAAAAAAGCUACUCAAGUACAGGAAGCCAUGCAAGCCCCGCAACACAGAAUUCAAGACAUGCUCAUUCAUCCUGUUUCUGAACUGCUUUUGCAAGGUGGCAGCUCAUUCGAAGUUAGCUAUGCCAACUUUCCCUUAACGAUUUUCAGCCUCCGGGCUAUCCCUCUCUUCCUCAGGCUCCCCUUCACCCUUGGGUACCGCUGUUUUAUACAACCUGGCAUUUGGCACUCUAAGUUUAACUGUUGGCAGGUAUGCAAAUACUGCCCAAAUCCUGGAACUGGACAGCUACUGAAAACAAGUCCGAACUCAUCUCUAACCUCUGCAGAAUUCCCCCUCUCCAUCCACUGUGCUCACUGUUUUGAACCACUGAGUUGAGUUUCCAAAAAUACCUAUUCUACUGCAAAAAAGACAGCUGGAAUUGAGACUGUGCGGACAGACUGGCUGGCUCUCUGCAUGUCAUUAUACCGCAAAUUGUCAUAGUGAGGCAAACAUCUGGGAAACUAACAGGGUGAAGCAGUACACUCCAUUAAAAAAAAAUCUAUUUUAAAAAUUGCUCCAAACAUGUUUCAAUGUCCUUUGAAAUGUAAAAUUGUCUUGAGCUCAAUCCAAGAUCGUGUGAUUUUGCUUAAUGAGAACUAGUUUUUACCUAACCACUGCUAGGGUAUGGAAACAGAAAAGAAAAAAAGCUUAAGUAUGGCAACAGCUUAAGAAAAAUAUCAGUGUUAUCAGUGACAUAUGUUGAAUACAAUACAGCUUAACCUUACAUUUUACUCCUAAAUACAAG